UACGUAGGGUGCGAGCGUUGUCCGGAAUUACUGGGCGUAAAGGGCGCGUAGGCGGUGUGUCAAGUCAGGCGUGAAAGCCCCGGGCUCAACCUGGGAACGGCGCUUGAGACUGGCACGCUCGAGUUCGGGAGAGGAUGGUGGAAUUCCCAGUGUAGAGGUGAAAUUCGUAGAUAUUGGGAAGAACACCGAUGGCGAAGGCAGCCAUCUGGACCGACACUGACGCUGAGGCGCGAAAGCGUGGGGAGCAAACAGG
rnacentral:rRNA from 1 species